CCCUUAGAGUUUGAUCCUGGCUCAGGACGAACGCUGGCGGCGUGCUUAACACAUGCAAGUCGAACGGGGUGUUUAUUUCGGUAAACACCAAGUGGCGAACGGGUGAGUAACGCGUAAGCAAUCUACCUUCAAGAUGGGGACAACACUUCGAAAGGGGUGCUAAUACCGAAUGAAUGUAAGAGUAUCGCAUGAGACACUUACUAAAGGAGGCCUCUGAAAAUGCUUCCGCUUGAAGAUGAGCUUGCGUCUGAUUAGCUAGUUGGUGAGGGUAAAGGCCCACCAAGGCGACGAUCAGUAGCCGGUCUGAGAGGAUGAACGGCCACAUUGGGACUGAGACACGGCCCAGACUCCUACGGGAGGCAGCAGUGGGGAAUCUUCCGCAAUGGGCGAAAGCCUGACGGAGCAACGCCGCGUGAACGAUGAAGGUCUUAGGAUCGUAAAGUUCUGUUGUUAGGGACGAAGGAUAAGGAUUAUAAUACAGUCUUUGUUUGACGGUACCUAACGAGGAAGCCACGGCUAACUACGUGCCAGCAGCCGCGGUAAUACGUAGGCGGCAAGCGUUGUCCGGAAUUAUUGGGCGUAAAGGGAGCGCAGGCGGGAAACUAAGCGGAUCUUAAAAGUGCGGGGCUCAACCCCGUGAUGGGGUCCGAACUGGUUUUCUUGAGUGCAGGAGAGGAAAGCGGAAUUCCCAGUGUAGCGGUGAAAUGCGUAGAUAUUGGGAAGAACACCAGUGGCGAAGGCGGCUUUCUGGACUGUAACUGACGCUGAGGCUCGAAAGCUAGGGUAGCGAACGGGAUUAGAUACCCCGGUAGUCCUAGCCGUAAACGAUGGAUACUAGGUGUGGGAGGUAUCGACUCCUUCCGUGCCGGAGUUAACGCAAUAAGUAUCCCGCCUGGGGAGUACGGCCGCAAGG
rnacentral:rRNA from 1 species